AUUAAACGCUGGCGGCAUGCCUUACACAUGCAAGUCGAACGGCAGCACGGGGUGGUAACACUCUGGUGGCGAGUGGCGGACGGGUGAGUAAAGCAUCGGAACGUGCCCUGGAAUGGGGGAUAACGUAGCGAAAGUUACGCUAAUACCGCAUAUUCUGUGAGCAGGAAAGCAGGGGAUCGCAAGACCUUGCGUUCGAGGAGCGGCCGAUGUCGGAUUAGCUAGUUGGUGGGGUAAAGGCCUACCAAGGCGACGAUCCGUAGCGGGUCUGAGAGGAUGAUCCGCCACACUGGGACUGAGACACGGCCCAGACUCCUACGGGAGGCAGCAGUGGGGAAUUUUGGACAAUGGGCGCAAGCCUGAUCCAGCCAUGCCGCGUGAGUGAAGAAGGCCUCGGUUGUAAG
rnacentral:rRNA from 1 species